rnacentral:rRNA from 1 species
UAANCNUGCAUGUCUAAGUAUAAGCAAUUUAUACAGUGAAACUGCGAAUGGCUCAUUAAAUCAGUUAUCGUUUAUUUGAUAGUUCCUUUACUACAUGGUAUAACUGUGGUAAUUCUAGAGCUAAUACAUGCUUAAAAUCUCGACCUUUUGGAAGAGAUGUAUUUAUUAGAUAAAAAAUCAACGUCUUCGGACUCCUUGAUGAUUCAUAAUAACUUUUCGAAUCGCAUGGCCUUGUGCUGGCGAUGGUUCAUUCAAAUUUCUGCCCUAUCAACUUUCGAUGGUAGGAUAGUGGCCUACCAUGGUUUCAACGGGUAACGGGGAAUAAGGGUUCGAUUCCGGAGAGGGAGCCUGAGAAACGGCUACCACAUCCAAGGAAGGCAGCAGGCGCGCAAAUUACCCAAUCCUAAUACAGGGAGGUAGUGACAAUAAAUAACGAUACAGGGCCCUUACGGGUCUUGUAAUUGGAAUGAGUACAAUGUAAAUACCUUAACGAGGAACAAUUGGAGGGCAAGUCUGGUGCCAGCAGCCGCGGUAAUUCCAGCUCCAAUAGCGUAUAUUAAAGUUGUUGCAGUUAAAAAGCUCGUAGUUGAACUUUGGGCCUGGUCGGCCGGUCCGGAUCUUUCCGUGUACUGGUUUUAAUUCGACCGGGCCUUUCCUUCUGGCUAGCCCUGGGUCCUUGUGGCCCUUGGUGAACCAGGACUUUUACUUUGAAAAAAUUAGAGUGUUCAAAGCAGGCGUUUCGCUCGAAUAUAUUAGCAUGGAAUAAUAAAAUAGGACGUUUGGUUCUAUUUUGUUGGUUUCUAGGACCAUCGUAAUGAUUAAUAGGGACGGUCGGGGGCAUCAGUAUUCAGUUGUCAGAGGUGAAAUUCUUGGAUUUACUGAAGACUAACUACUGCGAAAGCAUUUGCCAAGGACGUUUUCAUUAAUCAAGAACGAAAGUUAGGGGAUCGAAGAUGAUCAGAUACCGUCGUAGUCUUAACCAUAAACUAUGCCGACUAGGGAUCGGGUGGUGUUUUUUUACUGACCCACUCGGCACCUUACGAGAAAUCNAAGUCUUUGGGUNCUGGGGGGANUNNNNCG